GAUGAACGCUGGCGGCGUGCCUAAUACAUGCAAGUCGAACGCGAGCAGCAAUGCUCGAGUGGCGAACGGGUGAGUAAUACAUAAGUAACCUGCCCUAGACAGGGGGAUAACAGUCGGAAACGGCUGCUAAUACCGCAUAAUGCAUCAAUUUCGCAUGUUAUUGAUGCCAAAGGAGCAAUCCGCCUUUAGAUGAGCUCGCGUCUGAUUAGCUAGUUGGCGGGGUAACGGCCUACCAAGGCGACGAUCAGUAGCCGGACUGAGAGGUUGAACGGCCACAUUGGGACUGAGACACGGCCCAG
rnacentral:rRNA from 1 species